rnacentral:rRNA from 1 species
GAUGAACGCUGGCGGCGUGCUUAACACAUGCAAGUCGAACGGAAAGGCCCAAGCUUGCUUGCGUACUCGAGUGGCGAACGGGUGAGUAACACGUGGGUGAUCUGCCCUGCACUUCGGGAUAAGCCUGGGAAACUGGGUCUAAUACCGGAUAGGACGAUGGUUUGGAUGCCAUUGUGGAAAGUUUUUUCGGUGUGGGAUGAGCUCGCGGCCUAUCAGCUUGUUGGUGGGGUAAUGGCCUACCAAGGCGUCGACGGGUAGCCGGCCUGAGAGGGUGUACGGCCACAUUGGGACUGAGAUACGGCCCAGACUCCUACGGGAGGCAGCAGUGGGGAAUAUUGCACAAUGGGCGCAAGCCUGAUGCAGCGACGCCGCGUGGGGGAUGACGGCCUUCGGGUUGUAAACUCCUUUCGCUAGGGACGAAGCGUUUUUGUGACGGUACCUGGAGAAGAAGCACCGGCUAACUACGUG